rnacentral:rRNA from 1 species
AGCGAACGCUGGCGGCAGGCCUAACACAUGCAAGUCGAACGAACCCUUCGGGGUUAGUGGCGGACGGGUGAGUAACACGUGGGAACGUGCCUUUAGGUUCGGAAUAACUCAGGGAAACUUGUGCUAAUACCGAAUGUGCCCUUAAGGGGAAAGAUUUAUCGCCUUUAGAGCGGCCCGCGUCUGAUUAGCUAGUUGGUGAGGUAAUGGCUCACCAAGGCUACGAUCAGUAGCUGGUCUGAGAGGAUGACCAGCCACAUUGGGACUGAGACACGGCCCAAACUCCUACGGGAGGCAGCAGUGGGGAAUCUUGCGCAAUGGGCGAAAGCCUGACGCAGCCAUGCCGCGUGGAUGAUGAAGGUCUUAGGAUUGUAAAAUCCUUUCACCGGUGAAGAUAAUGACUGUAGCCGGAGAAGAAGCCCCGGCUAACUUCGUGCCAGCCACCGCCGUAAUAC